GCAUGGACUGUUUCCUUGUCAUCCAACUCUGUAUUGGUCUUCUCUCCUCUUACAGUUGCUUCAUUGUACAGCCGAGGAUACAGAGGAUCAACCCGCUGAGCCUGAAGCAACAGGAGCCGCUCAACAAGAGACAAAGCCGAGACAAGCUGCCCAACAAGAGACGGUACCUCUGUGUCUGGUCCUGAAAACCCAAGGCUGGUGAAGGCACAGCUAUCAGAGGAGAAUCUGCAACCACCCCUUUCUGAAACCAGCAUAAUCCCUAACUACACUCUAAAUAUUUGUCCUUAGACCCACAGGGUUUCUAUUGCUACGAAGUGACACCAUGACCACGGCAACUCUUAAAAAG